rnacentral:rRNA from 1 species
GAUGAACGCUGGCGGCGUGCCUAAUACAUGCAAGUCGAGCGAAGCGGGGACGGGUGAGGAACACGUGGAUAACCUCCUAUAAGACUGGGAUAACGUCGGGAAACCGCAGCUAAACCGGAUACUAAUAGAGCGAUCCUCGCUGCAUUAGCUAGUUGGUAAGGUAACGGCUUACCAAGGCAACGAUGCAUAGCCGACCUGAGAGGGUGAUCGGUCCCACUGAAACUGAGCCACGGUCCAGACUCCUACGGGAGGCAGCAGUAGGGAGUCUUCCGCAAUGGGCGAAAGCAUGACAGAGCCACGCCGCGUGAGUGAUGAAGGUCUUCGGAUCGUAAAGCACUGUUAUUAGGGAAGCGGUACCUAAUCAGAAAGCCACGGCUAACUACGUGCCAGCAGCCGCGGUAAUUC